UACGAAGGGUGCAAGCGUUACUCGGAAUUACUGGGCGUAAAGGGUGCGUAGGCGGUUCGUUAAGUCUGUUGUGAAAUCCCCGGGCUCAACCUGGGAAUGGCAAUGGAUACUGGCGGGCUAGAGUGUGUCAGAGGAUGGUGGAAUUCCCGGUGUAGCGGUGAAAUGCGUAGAGAUCGGGAGGAACAUCAGUGGCGAAGGCGGCCAUCUGGGACAACACUGACGCUGAAGCACGAAAGCGUGGGGAGCAAACAGG
rnacentral:rRNA from 1 species